rnacentral:sRNA from 1 species
AGCAGCCGCGGUAAUUCCAGCUCCAAUAGCGUAUAUUAAAGUUGUUGCAGUUAAAAAGCUCGUAGUUGAAUUUCGGGAUCAGUACGCCGGUCGUGCCUUCGGUAUGUACUGGUGUUACUGGUUCCUACCUUCUGACGAACCGUCAUGUCAUUAAUUUGGUGUGGCGGGGAAUCAGGACUGUUACUUUGAAAAAUUAGAGUGUUUAAAGCAGGCUCGCGCUUGAAUACAUUAGCAUGGAAUAAUGAAAUAGGACGUUCGAUCCUAUUUUGUUGGUUUCUAGGAUUGACGUAAUGAUUAAUAGGGAUAGUUGGGGGCAUUAGUAUUCAAUUGUCAGAGGUGAAAUUCUUGGAUUUAUUGAAGACUAACUACUGCGAAAGCAUUUGCCAAGGAUGUUUUCAUUAAUCAAGAACGAAAGUUGGGGGCUCGAAGACGAUCAGAUACCGUCCUAGUCUCAACCAUAAACGAUGCCGACCAGGGAUCAGCGGAUGUUGCUUAUAGGACUCCGCUGGCUACC